rnacentral:tRNA from 1 species
GCCCUGAUAGCACAAUUGGCAGUGCAGCUCACUUGUAAUGAGCAGGUUCGCGGUUCAAAUCCGUGUCAGGGCACCA